rnacentral:rRNA from 1 species
AGAACGAACGCUGGCGGCACGCCUAACACAUGCAAGUCGAGCGCCCAGCAAUGGGAGCGGCGGACGGGUGAGUAACACGUGGGAAUAUGCCUUUCGGUACGGAACAACUCAGGGAAACUUGAGCUAAUGCCGUAUACGCCCUUACGGGGAAAGAUUUAUCGCCGAAAGAUUAGCCCGCGUCUGAUUAGCUAGUUGGUGAGGUAAUGGCUCACCAAGGCUUCGAUCAGUAGCUGGUUUGAGAGAACGACCAGCCACACUGGGACUGAGACACGGCCCAGACUCCUACGGGAGGCAGCAGUGGGGAAUCUUGGACAAUGGGGGAAACCCUGAUCCAGCGAUGCCGCGUGAGUGAUGAAGGCCUUCGGGUUGUAAAACUCUUUCGACGGGGACGAUAAGUGACGGUACCCGUAGAGAAGCUCCGGCUAACUUCGCGCCAGCAGCCGC